UACGUAGGGGGCAAGCGUUGUCCGGAAUUAUUGGGCGUAAAGAGCGCGUAGGCGGUCCGAUAAGUCGGCUGUGAAAGUCAGGGGCUCAACCCUUGGAAGCCGGCCGAUACUGUCGGACUAGAGUCCGGAAGAGGCGAGUGGAAUUCCUGGUGUAGCGGUGAAAUGCGCAGAUGUCAGGAGGAACACCAAUGGCGAAGGCAGCUCGCUGGGACGGUACUGACGCUGAGACGCGAAAGCGUGGGGAGCAAACAGG
rnacentral:rRNA from 1 species